GUGAGACAGUUAAUGACUGCAUAUGAGAUACCUAUCUCCAUGAUGGGACAGACCUGGAACAUUGGGUUCAUCUGGACCUGGGAACUAUCCAGUGCAGGACUGAUGUUGUCCUUCAGAGCAAGGAACACUGGCCAACACCUUCCCUCCACCAAUCGAAGCGCAGUACAUACGUGUUUACCCACAAGUCUGCAGGGGCCACUGUACUCUGCGCAUAUAGCUUAUAGACUGUGAGCUCACAGACCUAUUGGUUCCCACUAAAGUAACAGGUAUAGUGACUCAGGGAGCUAAGGACUUUGGCCGUGUCCAGUUUGUACUCUCCUAUAAACUGGCCUACAUCAAUGAUGGACUGAGGUGGACUAUGUACCCAGAGGAAGCACACCACAAGGACAAGGUGUAACAUUGACAACAACACCCACAGGAAGAACUUAAUCCAGCCGCCCCAUAUAUGGUCUCUUCCUCCGCCUCAUCCCCUGGUUCUGGUACAGACGUAUCACACUCAGGAUGGAGCUACUGGGCUGCACAGAGGACGACUGACCACCUCUCUCUCUCUCCCCCUCU